GGUUGACCUCGGAUCAGGUAGGGAUACCCGCUGAACUUAAGCAUAUCAAUAGCCCGGAGGAGGAUCAUU
rnacentral:rRNA from 1 species